UAGAGUUUGAUCUUGGCUCAGGACGAACGCUGGCGGCGUGCCUAAUACAUGCAAGUCGAGCGCGGGAAGCAGACAAUCAUCCUUCGGGGUGUGCGUCUGUGGAACGAGCGGCGGAUGGGUGAGUAACACGUGGGCAACCUGCCUGUAAGCUUGGGAUAACUCGUGGAAACGCGAGCUAAUACCGAAUAAAAAGUUUGUUCGCAUGAACAGACGAUGAAAGACGGCUUUUGCUGUCACUUACAGAUGGGCCCGCGUCGCAUUAGCUAGUUGGUGGGGUAAAAGCUCACCAAAGCAACGAUGCGUAGCCGACCUGAGAGGGUGAUCGGCCACACUGGGACUGAGACACGGCCCAGACUCCUACGGGAGGCAGCAGUAGGGAAUCUUCCGCAAUGGACGAAAGUCUGACGGAGCGACGCCGCGUGAGUGAUGAAGGUCUUCGGAUCGUAAAGCUCUGUUGUCGGGGAAGAACAAGUAUCGGCCUAAUACGCCGGUACCUUGACGGUACCUGAUUAGAAAGCCCCGGCUAACUACGUGCCAGCAGCCGCGGUAAUACGUAGGGGGCGAGCGUUGUCCGGAAUUAUUGGGCGUAAAGCGCGCGCAGGCGGUCUUUUAAGUCUGAUGUGAAAUCUUACGGCUUAACCGUAAGCGGUCAUUGGAAACUGGGAGACUUGAGUGCAGAAGAGGAGAGUGGAAUUCCACGUGUAGCGGUGAAAUGCGUAGAGAUGUGGAGGAACACCAGUGGCGAAGGCGACUCUCUGGUCUGUAACUGACGCUGAGGUGCGAAAGCGUGGGUAGCGAACAGGAUUAGAUACCCUGGUAGUCCAAGGGCGAAUUCGCG
rnacentral:rRNA from 1 species